UACAGAGGUCCCAAGCGUUGUUCGGAUUCACUGGGCGUAAAGGGUGCGUAGGUGGUUAGGUAAGUCCGAUGUGAAAUCUCCAGGCUCAACCUGGAAAUGGCAUUGGAUACUAUCUAGCUUGAGGAGUGGAGGGGGGACUGGAAUUCUCGGUGUAGCAGUGAAAUGCGUAGAUAUCGAGAGGAACACCAGUGGCGAAGGCGGAGUCCCUGGACACUUCCUGACACUGAGGCACGAAAGCUAGGGGAGCAAACAGG
rnacentral:rRNA from 1 species